GAUGAAGAACGUAGCGAAAUGCGAUAAGUAGUGUGAAUUGCAGAAUUCAGUGAAUCAUCGAAUCUUUGAACGCACAUUGCGCCCCUUGGUAUUCCAUGGGGCAUGACUGUUCGAGCGUCAUUUGUACCUUCAAGCUUUGCUUGGUGUUGGGUGUUUGUCUCGCCUUUGCGUGUAGACUCGCCUUAAAAUAAUUGGCAGCCGGCGUAUUGAUUUCGGAGCGCAGUACAUCUCGCGCUUUGCACUCAUAACGACAGCGUCCAAAAGUACAUUUUACACUCUUGACCUCGGAUCAGGUAGGGAUACCCGCUGAACUUAAGCAUAUCAAUAAGCGGAGGA
rnacentral:misc_RNA from 1 species